rnacentral:rRNA from 1 species
GAGUUCUUGCCCUUACGGGUAGAUCUCCCACCCUUGAUAUCUAUUCUCUUGUUGCUUUGGCGGGACGCAUCUUGCCCCAGGCUUCGGCUUGUGAGUGCCCGCCAGAGACCCAACAAAACCUGUUUAUGUGUCGUUUGAGUACUAUAUAAUAGUUAAAACUUUCAACAACGGAUCUCUUGGUUCUGGCAUCGAUGAAGAACGCAGCGAAAUGCGAUAAGUAAUGUGAAUUGCAGAAUUCAGUGAAUCAUCGAAUCUUUGAACGCACAUUGCGCCCCUUGGUAUUCCGAGGGGCAUGCUGUUCGAGCGUCAUUUACACCACUCAAGCCUGGCUUGGUAUUGGAGUUCGCACACCAGCGGCUCUUAAACUCAGUGGCGGCGCCGGUUGGCUCUUCGCGUAUAAUUCUCUCGCGAUAGGGUCCGUCGGUAGCUUGCCAGCAACCUCUAUUUUUUAAGGUUGACCUCGGAUCAGGUAGGGAUACCCGCUAAACUUAAGCAUAUCAAUAAGCCGGAGGAAAAGAAAC